UGUGUACUCCCUCCGUUCGGAAUUACUUGUCGCGAAAAUGGAUGUAUCUAGAUGUAUUUUAGUUCUAAAUACAUCCAUUUCCGAGACAAGUAAUUCGGAACGGAGGGAGUACAUG
rnacentral:pre_miRNA from 1 species